GACGAACGCUGGCGGCGUGCUUUACACAUGCAAGUCGAACGGAAAGGCUCCAGCUUGCUGGAGUACUCGAGUGGCGAACGGGUGAGUAACACGUGGGUGAUCUGCCCUGCACUUCGGGAUAAGCCUGGGAAACUGGGUCUAAUACCGGAUAGGACCGCACUUUGGUGUGUGUGGUGGAAAGGUUUUUUCUGGUGUGGGAUGAGCUCGCGGCCUAUCAGUUUGUUGGUGGGGUAAUGGCCUACCAAGACGGCGACGGGUAGCCGGCCUGAGAGGGUGGACGGUCACAUUGGGACUGAGAUACGGCCCAGACUCCUACGGGAGGCAGCAGGGGGGAAUAUUGCACAAUGGGGGAAACCCUGAUGCAGCGACGCCGCGUGGGGGAUGAAGGCCUUCGGGUUGGAAACUCCUUUCGCUAGGGACGAAGCUUUUUGUGACGGUACCUGGAGAAGAAGCACCGGCUAACUACGUG
rnacentral:rRNA from 1 species